rnacentral:rRNA from 1 species
UUCGUAGGCGGGCUAUUAAGUCAGAGGUGAAAGCCAUCGGCUCAACCGAUGAAUUGCCUCUGAUACUGGUAGUCUUGAGUCCGUUAGGGGGUGGUGGAAUUCCCGGUGUAGCGGUGAAAUGCGUAAAUAUCAGGAGGAACACCAGUGGCGAAGGCGACCACCUGGGACGGUACUGACGCUGAGGAACGAAAGCAUGGGUAUCAAACAGGAUUAGAUACCCUGGUAGUCC